AUUCCCCUCGUCUCCCUGCCUCCAGCCGCAACCGCCGCCGGACCCCAAUCCCCGAUCUGACCCCCCCCCCUCAUGCCCUCUCCAUCCUCCUCCUCAAGACGUCACCAUCGCCUCCGUUCGUCUUCUCCCGCGCCGGCGCCGUCGAGGCCGAGUCGUUCCACUUCCCGCUCUGGCAGGUCUGCGCGGCCGCGUGCGGGGCGUUCGUCUUCUCCCGCGCCGAUGUCGUCGAGGCCGAGGCGUUCGACUUCCCGCUCUGGCAGGUCUGCGCGACCGCGUGCGGGGUGGGGCCGGCCGAGGUGGCGUCCCUCGACGGGCACACCAGGCUGCGCGCCGCCGCCGCGGCUGGCAGGACCGGCGUCGGCGUGGCCAACCCCACGGCCGUGGCCGUCACCCACGUGUUCCACAACAAGCAUGAGUUCCCCUUCUGGCCGUGGCCACAACCGACGCUGCCGAUUCCAUGGAGGAGCUCACCCCGGCCUUCUCCUCGUUUUCCUCCAUGGUCGGGUCUCCUGGUGGAGGUGCCGAUGUUGCCGGUUCCACAAUGCAAGAGCCCGUGGCAACGCGGCAAACUGAAGUUGUUCGCCGGCGUCGCACAGGGCGUCUUUGGCGUCGCAGGAAACCCUACCUUGGGGUUGGCACAGGGCAUCUCUGGCGUCGUAGGAAACCCCACCGCGGGGCUGGUGCAGGGAGUGGCCGACCAUCCCACCCUGCUGAAGCCGCAGGGCGUCUCUGCCAAGUCCAUGGUUGGCGAGUCCAACAUAGAAGUUAAUUUUUCUCCAUGAAGUUGAUAUGAUGCGAAGCUGCUGCCAGAUUGAAGGUAUGCCUGCAAGGAGGACACUGUAAUUUGGUCCAACAAGUACACACAACAAUCUUCUGAUUGUUCAACAUUCUUUAUUGCGUGAAUUUCUGACAUAUCAGGAUGCAGGUACAUGACACUAUUGUGUUGUCUGCAGAGGUUCUCAUUCUGAAAGAAACUGCAACUAUGUAAGAGCUUAUUACGCAGAUUAUGAAAUUUGCAGUUCAAGUUCUGGACAUCAGAUUGAUACUUUACCAAAGGUGCACCAAUCGGCCCUCCGUCUCCUAGGGUGAUGGCACAAUGACAUCGACAGCGGCAGCAAUUGCGCACAGUACGGUUAAAAACUUUCUAUUUACUUGGGUCUGCUACCUCAGAUUGAUGCGCCAUGCUCAGGCAAUAAUAGUCCAAGCUUCAUCGUGUAAUAAGCUCCACCUGCGUGCACAGGUAAGUGGUUCUGGUACUGCUUCUGUUUUUGUUUGUUAUAUUUGCUGCCAGUCUGAUUGCUACUAUCUACUGUACGUGCUUAUUGUUUGGCUUUGAAGAGAUAUUUGCUCGAUGUUAUGCCAAUUAAUUUCAAACAGAUGGUAAACUGUGAUUUGCUCCUCAAUUUGUAUUGUAUCUGAGAUCUCAUUUGUGCGUACAAUAUUAGCUUCUUCAUGGCAAUUUCAAUGUUACAUGUACCAUAAGCCAAUCAAUAUCUGCACCGUAUUGGUCUGAUGCUUUCUUACCCUCUCAUCCUUAAUUAAUAGGCAUUUUCCAAUAUUGGUCUGAUGCUUUGCAAACUCACUUGUAUUCUCCAUGUUAUUUACACGAUAUCUUGAAGGUUCAUGGUCCGAAUAUAAAUAAGAUUCGGUUCUUCUCUUAGAAACUUAGCCUUCUGCUUAUAUUUGCAUUUGCUAUUGAUGAUGUAAUUUGAGCAAAUACCCCAUAUCCUUUUUACCAAGUUUGGAUAAAAGCAUAUAUAAGUCUGAUUUUAACAAUAUUCUGUGAUCGACUAUGUGUUUGCCCAAAAUUUAUUAGAUGACAUGGAAUGCUUGAUUAAUGAUAUCAUUUUUUUUUAUUUCUUUGUGGUUCCUGGUGUGAAGCAACAGAUUUGAAUAAAAAUAUUUAUUUAUUUAGAAACAUUUUUAAGUUUAUCUGUACAUAUUGAUAUUAGCUUGAAUUUUGAACAAGAAAUAGUUUCUUAAUACGUACUUUUGAAUUUUAUGCACUUGUAUGUACACUGCUACUAACGGUGCUCUUGAUCAUGUCAUACACGAGUACUAAUGGUGCAUGCCUUAAUAUUGGAAUGGAAUGAAUACCAGCUUAUGUAGAGAAGCAAGGCCUUUUCGUAUUUGAGGAAGAAUGUCAUGCAACCAUUCAAGAAGAAUAGGAUGGGUAUUCCAGUAAUCCUAUGGAUUAGUCUCUAUAGUUGUUGGCAGCCUAUAAAGCAGAGGUAUCUAUGACUAAAUAAAUAAAAAUUGAUGACUUACUAUUUUACAAUAUUAGUUUCGACUAUAGUGUUGCUGACUAAAUCAUGCUACCUCUCAUUAUUGCGGCGUCUCGCUAGCAGGGUAUUCCCAUUUAGAUUAUGUUUGCCCUUUUGAUCACCGGCACGGCUGUAGCCGUCCAUGUAGGCGUCGGCGGCAGUAGGGGGGAGGGGACAUCGGAGCCGUCGGUGAUAUUGGAGGAAUCAAUCUAGCCGACCAUCCUUUGAAUGACACAGUUUUGCUACCUCCCACUGAUAACCUUUAGGAGCUAUGGAGAGGAGGGUUAGGAGGGUGGCGAGCCAGCGGCGUGAAGAGAAAAUGUUAGGGUCACAAUAGCAAACGAGUUCAUCUUGCCUGGGUUGCGCUGAUAAGAAAGAAGAUAGAGCUUCAGGUGAGGCAUAUCGUCCCUAGGAAUUUGUUGGUAUCGAGGAUUGUUCCAGGAAGCACUUCUGAUGACAACAUGAUGUUGGGCCUCGGGGACAUGGUAAGCUACUUAUGUCACAAUUUUCAUCCAUUCAGACUUGUUUUUGUGAUUCUUGUACUACCACUGAUCCAUAUAUGAUCUCUUGUACUCAUCAUUUAAUCCUGCUUAAAUUAUAGUAUUAAAGGUGGUUGUACUUUAAAAGGUCUCAAACUUGUGCAGGUAACCAACAGAAACUUAUUGAAGCACAUUGUUGUCAUCAUCCACUUAGUGCCCGCCGGGUCACGCUCAGCAGCAACGGUGCACGGCGAUGGGAAAGACGCAGGGGUGGCGGGAUCAUCACCAGUGGGGCCGUCGGGGAGAAGAUGGAGGCAGAUAAGAAAGGAACGGGCUCGGUUGGGUGUGAAAAGGAGAAUGAGAGAGAUAGCGAUGAUGUGGUGCUGCACCACUGCUCUCCUACUGCUAGCUGAAUUUUGGUAUUGUUGCUGCUAUCUGAAUUUCGCACACACACGGCGAGGUGUGCUGGCCGACGCCGUGCUUGUCGCGAGGGGGGGGGGGGGGGGGUCGUCGUUGGGAAUCUUCUGUCAGAGGUGCUGCCCUGCGAGCCGCCACCUGCACAGGGCACACUCCGACCAUGCAACCGCCAAGGUCGCCGACCACAUCGUGCACGUCCACGCCAUCGACCUCGGCGGACGGUGGCGCAAUGUUCGUCAGUAUGUCCUGUUGGUCGAGGAGCGCGAAGGAAGUGGGUUGAGGGAAGUGGGGGCGGCGGCAGAAGCAGCAUGGGUGUCCUACGGUGAGCGCUUUGAGGGAUUCUGCAGAGCAGUUCUCCCCGGAGGCCUGAUGCAUCCAACCGUACAAGGUAGUUGCGCCACUUCCCUGUGAUGGGUAGGCCUUAUAUACAUCUUGGCAAUUCCCUGUUAUGUUAUCUAAAUCUCGGCCACGUAUGAGGCAAAAACCACAUGCACCAUUGUCUUCUACUAUCUCCUUGCAGUAACUUCAGUUGCUUGUAGCCAAUGGGAUCUAUGCUAUGAGGGAACAUACAUGUCAGGGCACAUGUGCGUCCAUGGGUCCUCUUUGUAUUACUGCAUGUUGGUCUGUUAUCAUGCGACACAGACCUGAUGGUUGUUAGAAUGCUGAAAGAGACGACUUCAUUAGUUCAUCCAGUAGUUUCUUGCUGCUGUGAAAGGAUUACGAUUGACCAACAAAAAAUAAAACUUUUGAUUUCUCAAAACAAAAUAAAUAAAUCGUGGAGCCUCUAUGUAAGGAAAGCAGCUUUGUAUGAAAUUUUUAGUGCACUUCCAAUAUAUGUAGCUAGCAAGUGCAGGUAGAAAUGGUGUGAUAGGCCCGUGGCAUCCCUAUUGAAAACGAACAUGCCUUUGAAUUAGCAAGAAGAAUAGCAGCAAAACACAUAGACUGUUCUUAUUUCAAGAUCGUAACCAUUUAUCCGUUUGCUCCUUAGAUUCGCUUACUGAUUGUAAAUUGCUUUACUUCAUUGGACAUAAAAGGACAAUAUGCUUGUAUUUGUGAAACUGCUAUAUUUUUCUGUACAAUCGUGAAAGAGCUACAUUUUUAUAUCGCUCUAUGAUUCAUUUUCUUCUAUUCCAUAUGGACAUAGGAAACUUAAAAACUACACCACAACUCUUAGGCUUGCCAAAAUAUGAGGAUUAUCACUCAGUCAUGAGCGAAACUGGAUGUACCCGGUAAGGAUGGAGGCGAGAUGGGGCCAUAGAGCCCCCUUUUGCGCAGGAGGGAGUAGAUCUGAGCCGAAGGCAACAAUUGUGGCCGCUUCCAGAGCCGAAGCCACUUGCGGAGUCAAUGUCAUGGUCGCCCCAGAGCGGAAUCCAUCGCCUAGGCCACAAGAGUAGGAGCUGCUGUCGCGGAGGUCAUCUCUGAACCUAAACUGAAGUUUCUAUGGAUGGUAAGAUGUCCGCCCUCAAUCUUCUAGCAGCCGGUGCUCGUUGGCCUCUCCUCACUAUUCAGCUGCUGAUUGUAUGAAAUAGGUGGUUAACACUUUAUUUUGUUGGUCCCUACUGGACGGUAGUGAUGUUGAGACACAAGAGAUUAUCAGGCAUAUGCAUAUAUAUAUAUAUAUAUAUAUAUAUAUAUAUAUAUAUAUAUAUAUAUAUAUAUAUAUAUAUAUAUAUAUAUAAAAUUGUUCAUGGAUCUUUCUUAUCUCUAAUAUAAUUUUGCCAAUGAUCAAAGAACUGUUGUUCUGGAUGUACACCUAUUGUGUUGCUUAUUUUGCCAUCACUCUUGUGGUUUACCUUAGGAGUAGUACCAAUCUUAGAAAAUGCUCCUAAUUUGGGUAAAAUUUGGAAACAUUAUGGAUGGAUAUAUUUAUGGACUUGUUCCUUUAUUACAUAAUUGUAUAGCCUAUGAUCUUAUACAGUUGAGGGCCGCUUAUCCUAUUCUUUAUGUGUGAAGUUAAAAGCUAAAUAUAGCUAAUGACAAAAGUGAUCUAUUAAAAUAUAUCGCGGAAGUAAGUACUUGUUUUUGUUUCUACUUAUUACCUAAUUUUAAUGUGAAUUUUUCAAAGACAUACAGUGUUCCAUAUAGUCUAAUUUAAUAUACCAGCGAUGAUGGUAUUGAAUCCGCGAAGAAACUAUAUACUCAUUUCCUAAUUGCAUCUUUUAAUCAGGAGGUCAGGACCAAGCUUUAGGCAGGAAAAUGGGACAAUCUUCAGUAAGCUACAAUGUUCAUGUCUUCUUAUAUCAUUUGACUGAUGUGUUCUUGUAUCAUUCUUCUACUUUCGGAGCUAUUACUGCGAUCAUUUUGACCUCAUGUCUUCUUAUAUCAUUUGACCUUAUCUAGAUAUUAGUGGUUCUUAAUCCAGCAAGGUCUUGAAUAUUUUUCGCUUUGUCCAUUCAAAAUUUUGUUCCUCUAGCAACGUUCAUGGUUUAAGCUUUGAUUCGAAAAACAACUUUCAAUUUUAUAGGAGACACAAAGAGCAACAACAAGCCGCUGUAGAUAUUGUGUAGUAGCAACAUUAAUGAUCUGCUAAUGUUAUAUUUUUUUCUUCUUUCCUUAAUAUCUACAUGACCAAUGUGUAUUUUUAAUGAUCAAACAUGCACAUGUCACAUUAAGAGGUUGAGAGUAGCUCAAAAGAUAUGCAUACAUCCUCUACCUUUUACCUAAUGAAAUAUUUCUAAAACCAUAGUAGAUGUCAGGUGUAAAUUCCAUGAAGAACUGUUGGUUUUUGUAAUUAUUUCGUGAAACUUUCAUUGUAGGGUUCUAGGAUUGGUGAAUAAGCAGGGUUGUUUUCUUUCUUUAGUAUCUGCAUGAUCAAGUCGGUCUGUACUUUUAAUGAUCAUACCUGCACAUGUCACAUUAAGAUUGAAUAUAUUGUGACUUUUCUAACCAUUUCUUGUUAAUUGCUUGGGGAAAAACUAAUAGGAAUAUUUUUCUUAGAAAUCUCAAGGAAGUAAUUGUUCUCACUGUUUUGGUAAAAUAACAUAUAUUUUUGUUGUAUGUAUACUUAAUUUCAGGAGAUGUAGAUUUUCUUGUUAUCUUAUAUAUGUUCCUUUUUUUUCUUGUGAAAAAUGAGUUCAACAAGGGCUCCUCAUUCUGGCCUCCUGGGGUUGAAAUGAUUACUCCUUUAAUUGAUUUGAAGAUUGUUAAUUUUUUAUAUUUGGAAACGCUUGGAAGCUUUCCUUUGUUUUGGCGUUAUGAAGAUCUUACGCUUGUCGCCGCUCCAACGCCGUCAGCCGCACCCGCUUCGGCGGCUCGCCCGGUUUGCCGUUGUUGCUCGGCCACACAUGGGCGAUGACUGGUGAAACCAUGCAAGUCAGCGUGAAAACCACUUUUGUUAAAUCAAAGGACUCGAGUUAUCCGGUUUAAAGAAUUGAGGGACUAAGUUUUGCUGGUUUUGAAGUUAAGGGACCGUUUCUAUACUUUCGAGAGAGUUUAGGGAUGAAAAAUAUACUUUUCCCUACUUGCUAUGAUGUUCGAAUUUGACUGUUCUGUCGUAAUCACCAAUCACCACAGUUAACACACUACACAUGAUUCUGCUUGCAGAAACCCAACAGUUAAUGGAGAAAUCAGGUCACUUUGCAUCUACUUUGCCUCAGUUUUUUCAGAAGUCAACAGAGUUUGUAAAAAAAAAGAAACAUGAUCCUGCGGCGGUUGCCCAGACUUUUUUUUUUCUGGGGUAGCAAUGUUUGGAUGGGACAUGUCCCUCCUUUCGUAACCACUUUGUAAUUUCUACUUGUGCUAUGUAAUAGACGGCUUACAUAAAAAGGCAGUAUGUUUUGUAGAUACUCCCUCUGUUGAGAAUAAUUGUCACUAUAACUUUCUUUAUGA